CAGGGUAUGGCUGAGACAGACAAGCAUCUCCCUUACACCGAGAAGACAUUCAUGCAAGUUGGAUUACCCUGA
rnacentral:tRNA from 1 species